ensembl:lincRNA Gm43248 predicted gene 43248
UUCAAGAUACAUGCUUCGCUAAACUGGCUGAGAACACACCGGAGCGUUUCCAGUGAGGGCUUUUUAAGGCAUUUAAGAGUCUUGCUAUCUUCAAAAGGUACCCUCGGCUUGUUUACACCCUGGAUGAUAAGAAUAAGAAGCUCCGGAUGUGGCGUCAAGAACUUCAGUGCCUCUGUCGUCUGGAUCCCGGGUGAUUGAGAGACUGCAGGAAUUUUUAGAGAUAAGGACUCUGAGGAAUGUUCUCAUGAAUCCUGUCUACCCAGAUUGCAACCUGAAUACCAGAACACAUUGUUUGAAUACAUAAUUCAAGGUCAACGAGAAGGUGUUCCAUUGUAUGAUUUAGUCAUG